UAAAAGUUUUAUUCUUGCUUAUUGAUUUAUUUUGAAUUAAUUUUAUAUGUAAGGUAUUUCGGGUAUUAAAAUCUUAAGGGUUUAAUGAUUAAUUUUUCAGUAGAUAGUAUUAUGAAUUUAAAGGAUUUUUGAUCUAGUUAUGUUCAUUAAGUAUUGAUUAAAUAUGUGCCAGCAGUCGCGGUUAAACAUAGAAUAUGAAUAAAUAUUUUCAGUUAAAUUAGUUAAUUUGUUUAUUAUAACUUUAUUUUAAAUUUUGUUUGGUGAAAUUUUAAUUUUUUUUUAUGGUUAAAAUUAAUUGAAGAGGCUAUGAAAUCUUUUAUUUAAACUAGGAUUAGAUACCCUAUUAUUAUUGAUAUAAUUUAUUUAAACUGGAGUAGUAUUAGUUAUGAUCUUGAAACUUAAAGAAUUUGGCGGUAUCUUAGUCUGUUCAGAGGAAUUUGUUCUAUAAUCGAUAGUCCGCGUUGAACCUUACUUGGUUUAAAUUUAGUAUGUAUACCGCCGUUUAUUGAAAAUUUUUUUAGAUAAUUUUCUUGAUAUUUGAUUUAUUAAUAUUUCAGGUCAAGGUGCAGCUUAUAAUCAAGUGGAAAUGAAUUACAUUUCAAUAAUGAAUAAUGGAUUAUCAAUUGCAAUUUUGGUAUAAAGGUGGAUUUGAUAGUAAUAUUGUAUAUAUUGUUAGUGUGAUUAGAGCUCUGAGAUGUGUACACAUCGCCCGUCGCUCUCGUUAAUUAAGAUGAGAUAAGUCGUAACAAAGUAGGUGUACCGGAAGGUGUAACUAGAAUGAU
rnacentral:ncRNA from 1 species